rnacentral:rRNA from 1 species
UACGGGGGGGGCAAGCGUUGUUCGGAAUUACUGGGCGUAAAGGGUUCGUAGGUGGCCAACUCAGUCAGACGUGAAAUCCCUCAGCUUAACUGGGGAACUGCGUCUGAUACUAGAUGGCUUGAGUGCAGGAGAGGAACGCGGAAUUCCAGGUGUAGCGGUGAAAUGCGUAGAUAUCUGGAGGAACACCGGUGGCGAAGGCGGCGUUCUGGACUGCAACUGACACUGAGGAACGAAAGCCAGGGGAGCAAACGGG